AAGCGAUUGACAUUCGUCUUCUGCAUCCCCCAGCUCAUUUCUCCUCCAAUCGACAAAUUGAAAAAGAAACUACAGGCGAGCUGUCAACUGCAGGGUGAGCAAGAGAGAGAGGCGUGAAUACUUAUGUUCCCUGUCAAGGAGACGCAACUUUCCCGAUCCCUGUGGACCAAUACAUCAGUAUUGUGUAUUCACAAUACAUUGGUUUUGAGUCAUGUAAUAUAAGAAGGGACAAAUAAUCAUUAUAAACACUGGCUAAAGCCCCAACCCCAACCACAACAAAAGCCAGCCAGGCUAGAUCUGACUCAUUCAUUCUGAAUGAGGGGCCAACCCAACAUCCAAGGACAACGUACCUCAGAGAUCCUAGGUCCUCAUUCCUGACGGGGACACCGGCGGCGGAGGCAGAGGGGGGACAGCGCAUGCCGUUGACGUAUAUGCUCUGCACCAGGGCUAGCUCCGACGAGUGUUCCAACAUCGCACGGUACUCUUCCAGAAAAAUCCACCUUCUUAUGUGUGUUAAAUGGACACUUCUCUUCUUCUCACUAUUUCUCCCUCUCGCCUCUAUCUGGGUAGCUUUUUUCUCUCUCUAUUUCUCUCUCUCUAUUUCUCUCUGUUUUUCACUCCCGCCCCUCUCUUUCUCUCCUCAGAUUUAGUGCAGUCGAGCGGCACACACCCCUUUUGCUGACUGGCGUAGCUGAAAUAAUCCUUUUUGACAGCUCAUCGUGGGCUAAUGCAUUGUGCAGCCCGCGGCAGACCGGUUCGCAGGCUGCAAAGCUGCGGCCACAGUAGUACUCUACCUCUAAUUGACACCCAUAUUAGGAAGAGUCCAGGAAAUUGCACACGGGUGAUUUAUUCCUACUGUCAGAUUGGGCAGACUGGGAUGCAUGGGGAAACGUCUGCAAAGUUUGCCAAUGGAUCUCUGGAUCUGUUUCUUUCUCAGGUCCUGGGAUUGAGUGGGUUGUGGUAUGAUCCCUGUUUCAAUGUUUUGCAUGUAUUUGAAUGCUUGGAUACAGGAGAAAUACAGGCCAAAUGUAGGUCGAUACCAGGUGUUGUUGUUACAAAGGAAAUACUGUACAUACAGGCUAAACCUCAGGUACUGCACUUGUGGCAGGAAUCAUAGUGUGGUCCAACCAAAGUCUGUGUCAAGCAGGGGAAUCAAUCCAACAAGCAAAGCACCACGCCCUUUUUAGAACAGAUGCAUGAAUUUGUAUGUAAAAAACUGGAUUCUGAAGUGUCAAACUUCAAAUGUUGAAAUUAUUUAAAUGUUCUAACAACUCCAUCUACUAACUCUGCAGUUACAUGCAGAUCUUUUGGUCGAGAUUUCAUCCGUGAAAAUGCCAAAUAUUUAACACCAGGAAACAUUUAUUGGGGCAUGGCUUUUAUCCAAAACCCUUAUCCAGUCCAGUCAUACCAUCACUUUCUGAAUAAUCUUCUUUUGGACAGGAGGAUGCGCAUAUGUCACAUUCUUCACAUUCCCUGGACUGACUGAUGAUAAACCAGAGGAUGAGAAGAGGGAGGGGAGAGGGGUACAGGGAGCGACAGAGGAGAGACACAGAGAGGGGGUGAUGGAGACCUUUGUGAGAGGGGGAGACAGAGCCAACCCUGUCUACCUCUGUACCCUCCCUCCAACUACAGUACAGUAUGUUGUCAUUAUUACACUGGUGCAGAGAUGGAUAGCAUAGCUUGCUGUAUGUUUAGUCAGUAAGAAGAAAUUCUGGUAAGCAUGGCUAUCUUUUAAUAAAGGAAGGAUUACGCUA